UCGUUUUGCAUGAUUAUGUACUUUGAUCUAUUUUGCAUGCAAACCCUUGUGUUAUAUGAAUGCAUCACUUCCAUUGCUUUGUUAAAGUUUAAACACCUUAUUCGCAUGCUAUCUCUAAGUGGUGUGUUGGAGGUUAGGUUAGGAGUUAACGGAGAGUCACAUCGGUGGUUAAUGUGACACGCUGGAUUCGGGUCAAAUCUUCUCAGUCGGGUAUGAGGUGUUACAGGGACUUACAAAUUCACUAGGUUGAUAGCCAAAUAGUCUCUAGUUAAUUUAAGUAGCCAAGGCAUCACUAGAUAGGAUAUCGCAACCACUAGCCAAACAUAUAUUGCCGUGAGCGCUUUAUCAUUCAAUUUCAAGUAUAACUUGCAAAUCAAUGCAAUACAAUUUCAUAAACAACAAUCAGCUAUACAGAUAACAAAAUUAGGAAAACUAAUGGCACUCGAACUAGUAUCAAAUUUUCAUUCUGCACCUAAGCAGAUUUCUUUGUUUAAAGCGACCCCUGAAAUAUGUAACAUAUUUUAAUCCCAUUCUUAAUGCGUUUUUUGAUGAUUAAUUAUGCAAAUUAGUGAAUUUGAUGCUCAUAAUCCUUUACAUUCAUGUUUUUAUUCUUAGGAGAGCAUUUGAGACCGAAAGGAGCGAAAAACAAGCCAAAAAGGACAAAUAGAGUUGUUUUCAGGAUCCACACGGCCUGGGCAUUUCCACACGGGUAAGCCACACGCCCGUAUGAGCCACAUGGGCUGGCCACACGCCCAUGUGCCAACCCGUGUCGAUUUUGCACCCUGCUUCCAAAAUACGCAGAAAAACUCAAUUUUUAGGCUUUUUGAGCAUUCCAAAGUUUAUAAAUAGCAAUUAAAAGAGGACCUAAGGGGGCAAUCAGAGGAGAUCGAAGAAAACACUCAAAGAAUGCCAUCAAAAUCAACUCGGAAGUGGAACCCCCUCAAGAUCAAAGAUCUCUAUUUAAUUUCUUUUGAAGUUUUAUUGAGUUUCUGUUAUGUCUUGUGGUUAUCCUAACUUUGAGAUAUUUCUAUUUAGGAUUAUGAACUAAUCUAGAUACCUAGGGAGGAUGAAACCUAUGAUGAAUUCUAUGAUGAAUGUUAUUAUUUAAUUUCUGUUUUUAUGUAAUAAAUACUUGAUUCUUGUUCUCAAUUAUGUAUGCUUAUUUCGUGUUUU
rnacentral:lncRNA from 1 species